rnacentral:lncRNA from 1 species
GGAAUACAGACAAAGUCAAGGAAAAAAAUAGAAUUAAUCAAUUCAUGCACUAUAGUAAGAGUCAAACCUAUGAAAUAUAGUGUUGAUGAUCAAAAGGAAUUUAAAGAUCAGAUAAAAGAAUUGCUAGAUGCCUAAUUAAUUAGGCCUAGUAAAGUCCACAUAGCAGUCCAGCCUUUAUGGUUAGAAAACAUAGUGAGAUAAAAAGAGGAAAAGCCAGAAUGGUGAUAAAUUAAAAAAAAUUAAAUGAAGUUACCAAAUUUGAUGGAUGCUACUUGCCAAAAAAGGACACCCUUAUUAAAUAAGUACAGAAUAAAAAGAUAUUUUCAAAAUUUAAUUGUAAGUCAAGGUUUUGACAAAUCAUGCUUAUAGAAGAAAGUAAACCAUUAACUGCAUUUAGUACCCCCAAUCCUUUAGGACAAUACGAAUGGAAUGUAAUGCCAUUUGGGUUGAAAAAUGCACCACAAAUAUUCCAAAGAAGAAUGGAUGUGGUAAUCAAAUCAAUUACUCAUUUUUGUAUUGCAUAUAUAGAUGAUUUACUUAUUUAUUCAAAGAACAUUGAUGAACAUAUUGAACAUUUUGAGAAAUUUUGUUAUAUUAUGAAAAA